AGAUUGAACGCUGGCGGCAUGCCUUACACAUGCAAGUCGAACGGUAGAGUAGCAAUACUUGAGAGUGGCGAACGGGUGAGUAAUAUAUCGGAACGUGCCCAGUCGUGGGGGAUAACGUAGAGAAAUUUACGCUAAUACCGCAUACGAUCUAAGGAUGAAAGCGGGGGACCGUAAGGCCUCGCGCGAUUGGAGCGGCUGAUAUCAGAUUAGGUUGUUGGUGAGGUAAAAGCUCACCAAGCCGACGAUCUGUAGCUGGUUUGAGGGAACGACCAGCCACACUGGGACUGAGACACGGCCCAGACUCCUACGGGAGGCAGCAGUGGGAAUUUGGACAAUGGCGAAAGCCUGAUCCAGCAAUAGCCGCGUGCAGGAAGAAGG
rnacentral:rRNA from 1 species